AUUGAACGCUGGCGGCAGGCCUAAUACAUGCAAGUCGAACGAGUGGCGGACGGGUGAGUAAUUUCUGGGAAACUGCCUGACGGAGGGGGAUAACUACUGGAAACGGUAGAUAAUACCGCAUACCAUCAGAUGUGCUCAGAUGGGAUUAGCUAGUUGGUGGGGUAACGGCGCACCAAGGCGACGAGGCCUAGCUGGGCUGAGAGGGUGACCGGCCACACUGGAACUGAGACACGGUCCAGACUCCUACGGGAGGAAGCAGUGGGGAAUAUUGCACAAUGGGCGCAAGCCUGAUGCAGCAAUGCCGCGUGUAUGAAGAUGGUCUUCGGGUUGUAAAGUACUUUCAGCGGGGAGGCGUUACCCGCAGAAGAAGCACCGGCUAACUCCGUGCCAGCAGCCGCGGUAAUAC
rnacentral:rRNA from 1 species